GUGGAAAUUCUUUCGGGAAUGGAAGCGAAAUGAAAGUGGCGAACGGGUGAGUAACACGUGAGCAACCUACCUUACACAGAGGGAUAGCCGUUGGAAACGACGAUUAAUACCGCAUGAGACCACAGAAUCGCAUGAUAUAGGGGUCAAAGAUUUAUCGGUGUAAGAAGGGCUCGCGUCUGAUUAGCUAGUUGGAAGGGUAAAGGCCUACCAAGGCGACGAUCAGUAGCCGGUCUGAGAGGAUGAACGGCCACAUUGGAACUGAGACACGGUCCAAACUCCUACGGGAGGCAGCAGUGGGGAAUAUUGCACAAUGGGGGGAACCCUGAUGCAGCGACGCCGCGUGAGCGAAGAAGGUUUUCGAAUCGUAAAGCUCUGUCCUAUGAGAAGAUAAUGACGGUAUCAUAGGAGGAAGCCCCGGCUAAAUACGUGCCAGCAGCCGCGGUAAUACGUAUGGGGCGAGCGUUGUCCGGAAUUAUUGGGCGUAAAGGGUACGUAGGCGGUUUUUUAAGUCAGGUGUGAAAGCGUGAGGCUUAACCUCAUUAAGCACUUGAAACUGGAAGACUUGAGUGAAGGAGAGGAAAGUGGAAUUCCUAGUGUAGCGGUGAAAUGCGUAGAUAUUAGGAGGA
rnacentral:rRNA from 1 species